AACGAACGCUGGCGGCAUGCCUAACACAUGCAAGUCGAACGAGACCUUCGGGUCUAGUGGCGCACGGGUGCGUAACGCGUGGGAACCUGCCCUUAGGUUCGGAAUAACUCCCCGAAAGGGGUGCUAAUACCGGAUAAUGUCUUCGGACCAAAGAUUUAUCGCCUUUGGAUGGGCCCGCGUUGGAUUAGCUAGUUGGUAGGGUAAAAGCCUACCAAGGCGACGAUCCAUAGCUGGUCUGAGAGGAUGAUCAGCCACACUGGGACUGAGACACGGCCCAGAAUCCUACGGGAGGCAGCAGUGGGGAAUAUUGGACAAUGGGCGAAAGCAUGAUCCAGCAAUGCCGCGUGAGUGAUGAAGGCCUUAGGGUUGUAAAGCUCUUUUACCCGGGAUGAUAAUGACAGUACCGGGAGAAUAAGCUCCGGCUAACUCCGUG
rnacentral:rRNA from 1 species